GAUGAACGCUGGCGGCGUGCCUAAUACAUGCAAGUCGAGCGAACAGAUGAGGAGCUUGCUCCUCUGACGUUAGCGGCGGACGGGUGAGUAACACGUGGAUAACCUACCUAUAAGACUGGGAUAACUUCGGGAAACCGGAGCUAAUACCGGAUAAUAUAUUGAACCGCAUGGUUCAAUAGUGAAAGACGGUUUUGCUGUCACUUAUAGAUGGAUCCGCGCCGCAUUAGCUAGUUGGUAAGGUAACGGCUUACCAAGGCAACGAUGCGUAGCCGACCUGAGAGGGUGAUCCGCCACACUGGAACUGAGACACGGUCCCGACUCCUACGGGAGGCAGCAGUAGGGAAUCUUCCGCAAUGGGCGAAAGCCUGACGGAGCAACGCCGCGUGAGUGAUGAAGGUCUUCGGAUCGUAAAACUCUGUUAUUAGGGAAGAACAAAUGUGUAAGUAACUAUGCACGGCUUGACGGUACCUAAUCAGAAAGCCACGGCUAACUACGUG
rnacentral:rRNA from 1 species